ACACGUAGGGGGCGAGCGUUGUUCGGAAUCAUUGGGCGUAAAGGGCGCGCAGGCGGCGAGGCAAGUCCGGUGUGAAAGUGCUCGGCUCAACCGAGUGAUGCGCUGGAAACUGCCCUGCUUGAGUACAGGAGGGGACGUCGGAAUUCCAGGUGUAGGGGUGAAAUCUGUAGAUAUCUGGAAGAACACCAAUGGCGAAGGCAGGCAUCUGGCCAUGUACUGACGCUGAGACGCGAAGGUGCGGGGAGCAAACAGGUUUAGAUACCCUGGUAGUCCGCACAGUAAACGAUGUGCACCAGGUGGCGGGGGGUCGACCCCCGGUACCGUAGCUAACGCAUUAAGUGCACCGCCUGGGGAGUAUGCUCGCAAGGGUGAAACUCAAAUGAAUUGGCGGGG
rnacentral:rRNA from 1 species